rnacentral:rRNA from 1 species
UAAGGAAUAUUGGACAAUGGGCGGAAGCCUGAUCCAGCCAUCCCGCGUGCAGGAUGACGGCCCUCUGGGUUGUAAACUGCUUUUGUAUAGGACGAAACGCCUUCAUUUAUGAGGGUCUGACGGUACUAUAAGAAUAAGCAUCGGCUAACUCCGUGCCAGCAGCCGCGGUAAUACGGAGGAUGCGAGCGUUAUCCGGAAUCACUGGGUUUAAAGGGUGCGUAGGCGGGAUAAUAAGUCAGGGGUGAAAGCUGGUCGCUUAACGAUCAAAUUGCCUCUGAUACUGUUAUUCUUGAAAUAUGAUGAGGUUGGCAGAAUGUGACAUGUAGCGGUGAAAUGCAUAGAUAUGUCAUAGAAUACCAAUUGCGAAGGCAGCUGACUGGUCAUUAUUUGACGCUGAGGCACGAAAGCGUGGGGAGCGAACAGGAUUAGAUACCCCUGUAGUCC